AUGAGGACCACCAAAGCAUCAAUUGUGCCUUGCGAGGAUGAUGCUCCAGCAACCUCUAUGUGCUUUUCGCCAAGCCAAAGCUUGGAACCUACAACUACGAAAAAGAGAAAACAUGAUAACUCAAUUACUGGAGCAUCAAAAAGCCAAAUGUUGGAGAAAACAAAGAAGGAAAAAGGGAAAGGGAGUAAAUUUGGAUCCAGAGUAGCAAAAAGAUCAAGAACUCAGCCCAUUUGUGUGGCCAACAAGAAAGCAUCUGUUGCUUUGAAAUUACAUGCCAAAAGAAAAGGCAAAGAGGUUGCUGAUAAGUUGCCACACCUUCCUAUGGUGCCACAUGAUAGCCCUGCAAUGGGCACACGUAGCAAAAAAAUGAAUCCUGCCAGCCCUGCAAUGAGCACACGAAGCAAAAGGAGGCUUAGCUUGUGA
rnacentral:rRNA from 1 species